ACAUAAAGACUGUGUGUUCAUCUACAACUAAAUAAAUACUUCUUAAAAAAAUCCCUCACAAUUACUAUAAUCACUUAAUAUAAAUCUCAUUAUCUUAUUAUAGACCAAAUGAGGCUGAUUUAAUUUGAAAAACUUCCUAAAGGCCCUAGAAAAUGAAGGGCAUAGAUGGAAAGUGUUCGUGCACAAAGACACUACUAUAGCUGGAUAUUCCAGGUUCCGUCUGGCCACCACUCCACCUUGUACCUUUCAACCUAAACAAGGAAGGUGUGAAUCUGCAGGGCUCCUGUGUGGGACUGGCAGCACAAGGCAAUGGAUCUGAAAUAUAAAUGGGUUUCAGAGACCAAAAAAGCAGGAGCAGGCUCUGGGAACACCCCUGGGGGAUACAUGCCUCCAGCAGGCUCUUCUUCCCUUCUGUACUUUUGCAUGCACUGAUCUACUGUGACUAGGACCUCAUCUGUAGUAGCUUAGGGAUAGCAAGACCUGAUAGGUGCUUAUACAGAAGUCUCCAAUCCUAUACAUAAAGGAAGUCAUUUCUGUGACUUCAAUCAUCCUGCUCAGCAACCCUCAGGUAAGUGGAUUGGUUCUUGCCUGCUCUAGGCUUUCCCAAGGUGGGGAAUUUCCCCCCACAUUGUGGUCCCUUUCCAGGUAGAAGUCUAGGACUGCAGAAUUCUGCACCUGCUCCCACAGGAGAGAAUAAAUUUAGUUUUAUUCAUCUUUGUUUUUUGUAAUGCUUCUAAAAUUCAUCUAUUGACACAUAUUUACAACAAAUAUUGACGGGGUUCAUGUUAUAUCUUCAUUCAUACACAGUGUAUUGGUCACUUCCACCAACUUGUCUUCCAUCUUCUCCUCACCCUUUCCUAGAACUUAAUAAUCCCUACUUUACAUUCAAGUAAACUUUUUGUUUAUAAAAUUCUACAUUUGAGAGAGAACAUGCCAUACUUGUAGCUCUUUUCGUAACAACGGGCGGAGGUAAGUGCUCUGAAUAUGCUUAAGUGAAUAAUAAUGCAGAGUUGAUGACAUUGAAGGUAAAAGGAUCAUUAAACAGAGGAGCCUGUGUUUCUAUAAGAUGUAAAAUAUACAUGCUUCUGAUUAUUUUUUAAUAACCAAUUUCUGGUAACCAGGCAACAGUGUGCCAUACCUGCAAUCAUACCUAUUAAAGAGCCUGAGGUGGGAGGACUUCAAGUUUUAGAAAGUCUGGGAAAUUUAGGAAGUCUCUGUCUCUAAAAGAAAAUACCAAUAAAGGGGUUCUGGUAGAAGAACAUGAAAAAUCCUUAUACCUUAGGGAGAUAUUAUAAAGGGCCACAGUUAUGCAUUUGUUCUUCAUUGGGAUUAUGCUUCUAGGAUAAUAAAUAGUAUGAUCAUGUAAGAAUUAUUAAACCUUUACAAAGGUUAUUUGUUGUACUAUGUCUCAGGAACUGUUGUUACUUUGUUCAUAUGUCCUUUUUUCUUUUUCAUCAUUGAGAAUUAAAGACAGGUCACUAGAGCAAAUCUAUAUCUCCAGGCUUUUUACCAUUUUGAGAGAGGGUCUCCUUCAGUUGCUCACCUGACCUCAAACUUUCAUUCCUUCUGCCUCAGCCUCCUAGUUUCUGGGAUUACAGAUAUAUAGGACAGUAAAGAUGAUUGCUUUUCAACUGAAGUUCAUCAGUCCCAACCUUGUAAGCAAUUUGCUGCCAAGAGUACCAUCAUCACCCAACAUAUUGAACUCUACCUUGAAAUUGUGCAAGAGGGCCAUCAGUAAACACCAAAUGCUGAGCAGCCACUCAAUCCUUUGCCUCCUCUCUCAACCCUGCCACUGCUUCUUCUGAUCCAGAGGCCAAAGUCAUGGACCAUUCACUCCUGUGUGAAGCAGGCUCUGGAAUCUGCAGAGAUGACAGGAAGAUUCCAGUUGCCUUUGUCACUGAGCUUAGAAGAUUCUGGGCAAUAGUUCCCCCUUCUGUCCUCAGCUGGGAGAACCCUGGUGGGAAAGCCUAUAUUUCCAUUGGAAACUGCUCUCAAGGCCAUGGGGGCUGGUAUAUUGGGUAUGCCUCCACCCAGACACUUGCCUAGAGCCUACACACCAUAGAACCAUCCCUAGUUCUACCUGCCUGCCUUACCGGAACCCUAUGCCCAUGACACCAAAGAACUCAAAUUCAGCCUCAGGAGAGUGGCAUGCUGCAAAGCAACGAGGCAGUCACCUGCCCUGGCAGAUUCUCUUAGUCAAAUUCAUAUAGUCCUAGAGAUAGACUCCCCAGAGACAUGCAGACUUUUAACCUUGACCCAUGACCACUGAGUCCUAGGAGUACUGAGUGGUGGUAGAUUUUAUUUCUACUUCUGUUCCAGAAAAAUGUAAGGCAUAUCACUUUCCAAAGUCUCCUUGUUUACUUACUAGUAGGCAAUUGAUGUUAUUUUUAGAGGCCCUCAUAAAUAUUUGGUUCCCUUGCUCAACAGUAGACAGAAUGAAGAGAGAAGGAAAGAUAGAGGAGUGCUGCAAGAGGUGGGAGACAGAGCUCUGAUUCUGAGCUGUGCUGUGGACUUCACAUCAGAGCCUUAGAGAAGGUCUCCUUUGGACAGAGAGACAAGUCUCACUGAGUUGCUUUGCACCUUGCCCUUGCUGAUGCUGG